CCUACGGGGGGCAGCAGUAGGGAAUAUUGCGCAAUGGGGGAAACCCUGAAGCAGCAACGCCGCGUGGAGGAUGAAGGUUUUCGGAUUGUAAACUUCUUUUGUUAGAGAAGAGAAUGACGGUAUCUAACGAAUAAGCACCGGCUAACUCCGUGCCAGAAGCCGCGGUAAUACGGAGGGUGCAAGGUUUAGUCGGAAUAACUGGGCGUAAAGAGCGUGAGGGCGGGAUAGAAAGUCAGUGGUGAAUUCCUAGGGCUAACCGUAGAACUGCAUUUGAAACUGUUAUUCUAGAGUAUGGGAGAGGUAGGUGGAAUUCUUGGUGUAGGGGUGAAAUCCGUAGAGAUCAAGAGGAAUACUCAUUGCGAAGGCGACCUGCUAGAACAUAACUGACGCUGAUGCGCGAAAGCGUGGGGAGCAAACAGGAUUAGAUACCCGUGUAGUC
rnacentral:rRNA from 1 species